UACGUAGGGUGCGAGCGUUGUUCGGAAUUACUGGGCGUAAAGGGCUCGUAGGCGGCCAACUAAGUCAUACGUGAAAUCCCUCGGCUUAACCGGGGAACUGCGUCUGAUACUGGAUGGCUUGAGUUCGGGAGAGGGAUGCGGAAUUCCAGGUGUAGCGGUGAAAUGCGUAGAUAUCUGGAGGAACACCGGUGGCGAAGGCGGCAUCCUGGACCGGCAUUGACGCUAAAGCGCGAAAGCCAGGGGAGCAAACGGG
rnacentral:rRNA from 1 species